GUUUGAACAUCUGUAUGGACUCUGAUAAAACCACUUCUUCAGGCAGAGAAUUCCACAUGCUGAUUGUUCUUACAGUAAAAAAAAAAACCUUUCCUUUGCCUUAGACAAAAUCUUCUUUCUUCCAUGGCCUUGUGUCCUAUGUGAAGUCCGGUUUGUGAAUAGAUUUCCACACAAUGGUUUGUAUUGGCCCCAAAUAUAUUUGUAUAAUGUUAUCAUA